rnacentral:rRNA from 1 species
CGCGAGCUGGGUUCAGAACGUCGUGAGACAGUUCGGUCCCUAUCCGUCGCGGGCGUAGGAAAUUUGAGAGGAUCUGCUCCUAGUACGAGAGGACCAGAGUGGACUUACCGCUGGUGUACCAGUUGUCUUGCCAAAGGCAUCGCUGGGUAGCUAUGUAGGGAAGGGAUAAACGCUGAAAGCAUCUAAGUGUGAAACCCACCUCAAGAUGAGAUUUCCCAUGAUUUUAUAUCAGUAAGAGCCCUGAGAGAUGAUCAGGUAGAUAGGUUAGAAGUGGAAGUGUGGCGACACAUGUAGCGGACUAAUACUAAUAGCUCGAGGACUUAUCCAA